UACGAAGGGUGCAAACGUUGCUCGGAAUUAUUGGGCGUAAAGCGCGUGUAGGCGGUGCCGCACGUCCGAUGUGAAAGCCCGGGGCUCAACCCCGGAAGUGCAUUGGAAACGACGGCGCUGGAGUCCGGAAGAGGAGAGCGGAAUUCCCGGUGUAGAGGUGAAAUUCGUAGAUAUCGGGAGGAACACCAGUGGCGAAGGCGGCUCUCUGGACCGGCACUGACGCUGAGACGCGAAAGCGUGGGUAGCAAACAGG
rnacentral:rRNA from 1 species